rnacentral:rRNA from 1 species
CCUACGGAGGGCAGCAGUGGGGAAUAUUGGACAAUGGGCGAAAGCCUGAUCCAGCCAUGCCGCGUGUGUGAAGAAGGCCUUCGGGUUGUAAAGCACUUUCAGUGGGGAAGAAAGCCUUGGGGCUAAUACCCUCGAGGAAGGACAUCACCCACAGAAGAAGCACCGGCUAACUCCGUGCCAGCAGCCGCGGUAAUACGGAGGGUGCGAGCGUUAAUCGGAAUUACUGGGCGUAAAGCGCGCGUAGGCGGUCUGAUAAGCCGGUUGUGAAAGCCCCGGGCUCAACCUGGGAACGGCAUCCGGAACUGUCAGGCUAGAGUGCAGGAGAGGAAGGUAGAAUUCCCGGUGUAGCGGUGAAAUGCGUAGAGAUCGGGAGGAAUACCAGUGGCGAAGGCGGCCUUCUGGACUGACACUGACGCUGAGGUGCGAAAGCGUGGGUAGCAAACAGGAUUAGAUACCCUGGUAGUC